AAAUAUUAGCGGGAAACAAUGAACACUUUACUGAACAAGGUUUUAUUGUUGCAGAACACAAGGGCGCUGUUGUGUGCAGCAGCAUCGGUUCAAAGUCAGGUGUUAACUACACAGAUGCCUUUGGGUAAGAGAAUCUGUUGUUAUAUGUUUAAUUUUCAUAUAUGUAUGUGUUUACAUGUAUAGGUAACUGACAGUAAUCAAGUGAUUUU